GAUGAACGCUAGCGGCAGGCUUAAUACAUGCAAGUCGUGGGGCAGCAGGUUUGUAGCAAUACAGAUGCUGGCGACCGGCAAACGGGUGCGGAACACGUACAGAACCUUCCUUUGAGCGGGGAAUAGCCCAGAGAAAUUUGGAUUAAUACCCCAUAGUAUAAUGAAGUGGCAUCACUUUAUUAUUAAAGAUUUAUCACUCGAAGAUGGCUGUGCGGCUGAUUAGGUAGUUGGCGGGGUAAAGGCCCACCAAGCCUGCGAUCAGUAACUGGUGUGAGAGCACGACCAGUCACACGGGCACUGAGACACGGGGCCCGACUCCUACGGGAGGCAGCAGUAAGGAAUAUUGGUCAAUGGAGGCAACUCUGAACCAGCCAUGCCGCGUGGAGGAGUGAAGGUCCUCUGGAUUGUAACUUCUUUAUAUGGGACGAAAAAGG
rnacentral:rRNA from 1 species